UCAAGUUACGGUUGCCAUACCUAGGAGAAAACAGACCCAGAACACAACUGUGAUGAGAUUCCUGAAGAAAAUUACAGGGCACAGUGAGAGUGUACAAGAUGGGAACCUAACUGGAUAAAGAGGUGGUGGUCAGAAUUUGAAAUUGUGCAGGCUUCCCUGAGAACGUGGUUGAGAUCUGUAGGACAAAGAAACUAGAAAACCAGAUUGUGGAAGUAGCAGUGCCAAGAGGCUAUUUAGGAAGACUUUUCUCCCCACCCACUCAUAAAAAUAACGUACUAGGGACAAGUGGCCUUACGCCCUCCAACUAAGCUUACCA
rnacentral:lncRNA from 1 species